AUGUAGAUGACUGGGUAGUUAACACAGAUUGGUGGCCAGAAUUAUUCAGGAACAAGUCGGAAUAUCUGUGAGGAUGUUCAUUGUUUCUAGGCGUUUGUUCUGAUACUUUU